rnacentral:rRNA from 1 species
CCUGCCCAAGAGAUCGGGAUAACACCUGGAAACAGAUGCUAAUACCGGAUAACAACAGAUGAUGCCUAUCAACUGUUUAAAAGAUGGUUCUGCUAUCACUCUUGGAUGGACCUGCGGUGCAUUAGCUAGUUGGUAGGGUAACGGCCUACCAAGGCGAUGAUGCAUAGCCGAGUUGAGAGACUGAUCGGCCACAUUGGGACUGAGACACGGCCCAAACUCCUACGGGAGGCAGCAG